AGGUAGGUUGGUGGGUGGGAUAUGCUAAUGACACCGAUGACUCAAUCCGGAGGAUUGUGCGGAUAAACCCUGGUGUCGGGAGAUACGUCGCCAAGAGCUACAGCCCAAGGUAGAAGAUAGCGACAGAGUGCUGCCAGAUAAUGAGAUGUUGAAGCGGCAGACUGAAUCCAUGACACCGAAGUGCAAUUGCGGCAGAUUAUCUCUAUCUUUUAUUUUCAUUUUUCUUAUUAUUGAGUGAGAACAGAAUGAGGAACUGUGUGAUAGUACAUACAACAACUGUAGUAAAAAGAAACUUAUGUUUGCAAUUGUUAAUGACAUAGAUACUUGCAUGUUCU